UGAUAGCCGUAUGGUGUUUUCCGUCAAAUCACACAUAUAAACAAAUAGUUUGAAAACAUUUUAUUACCUACGUCGAAGAAAAUUGAAAACAUUUGAACAAUACAUAAUUACUUAACCUUCCUUCCAAAAAAAAAUCACGUAAAGAAUAAGCGCGCUUCGUGCAAUGGAUGAACAAACAAGGUUAGUCAAUAUUCCGCGUGAGCGACAUCCGCCUCCAGAGCCGAGGCCUCGUCAACCGCCGCCUGAGCCUCGCCGCGCCACAGCAAAUCAUCCGCCGCAACCACGCGAGCGUCAAAAACCACCACAACCACGGGAAAGACAAACACCACCUCCGCCAAAACCUAAAAAGACCCAUCCUUCAAACGAACUCCCAUAAAAGAGUUAAAAAACAACACAGUCAAAGUAACUGUACACUUUGCUUUAUUGCGAAUAUUAUGAAGUAUUUUAUUUUCAUUGAAUCAACCAUUUCUUGCAUAGACAGACAUUAGUAAACAUCUUUGUGUUAUGGCAACAAGACAGUUAACACAAAGGUUUUCAAUUGUAGUGUUAGCUAAAUUUUGUAAGUUGAAGACACGAGAAACAUUAAUGAAAUAACUUCAUGAAAUUGAAAAAAAUUACAUACCAUUGUUGCACAGCUUUAAUUUGAGAAAAGAGAGAAAAGCAUGGAAGUGUCCAAAUAUUAACAUUGUCUGGAAGUAUUAAGCAGCUUCUGUGACUAUGUGGCAGUUACAAGACCUUGACUAAUGACCCCAGUUUCCUUUUAUGUCCUGUGGUGAUAACAAUAAGAAGUGUACAUCUGCACAAAGGCACAAAACAAAAACAAAGGCACUCAUACCAAAAGCCAGCUGCACAGUUAAUUUGACAGUGCUUUAUAUCAUUAUAAUCAAUUGUAAUAUAGUGUUUUUUUUAUUAAUUCUUUAUAAUGUUAUGUUUUUAAUAAGGAGAUAGUCAUUUGGAUAUAACAACUGAUAGGAUCUGACACAUUUAUGUCCAAAUGACACCAAAAAGUUAUCAUGUACACUUCAUAACUUUGAUAUAUUUUUUUUCUUAUUUUAUAUCUUUGAAUGGUAAUAGAGAACCAAAAUUACCUAAAAGUAUUUUUACUAUUGUAUAUCUUUUUUACAUUUAACUACAUGUAACCAAAUAUAACAUUUAAACCUAGUAUUCAAUACACAUAGGAGCCAGUAGUCUUGUCAUUUGGUAUAGUUAGUGACAAGUUGCUGGCUGCACUAUAAUCUGUUAUUAAUUUUGUGAUUUUAUAAUAGUUAUGCAUAUGCAUGUUUAUUUUACAAUGUAUUUUCUAAUAUUUUGAGAUGAAACAGAUAUCUGAUAUAGAAUGCCUUUCUAGUACUAAUUUAAGUGCUAUGGAUAGUAAUCCAGCUGGAUCUUGUAGAUUCAUUAAAUACCAGUUUUUAAAGUGCGUCCACUACGCCCUGUUCCACAACGCCACUCUCCACUUUUACAGUAGUGUCACUACACCGCGCUUGCUAACUCCCAAACAAUCGUCCCCACGACUUUGCGCCUCCCCUUCACGGUAUGUUCUAUGCUACUCUCCAGUCUGUUGCUUUCGCGCCGCUUUUCCACCUGGGGCUGAACUCUUAAAGAAAAAUAUGUUUUGUGACUUUAUGAAGGAGCUAGAAAAUAGUUAAUGAAUGAAUGACUGAUUUAUUUAUUUCUCCACCUUACUUAUAUAACUACAGAUACAGUUUAAGGAUUUUUAUAUUUACGGUAAUUAAUUUUAUUUUCGGUAUCGAGCCAAUGCACUGUUUCAUCUCUUCUAUUUAGAGAUUGUAAACAUUUUGCUAAUUAAGCUGUGAUAAAAUAAAAGUUAGAUUUUAUAUACAUACAUUAUUAUAGAUAUUCUUGUAUUGUUAUACUGUAACAGCAUCAAAUGAACUACUACUUAUGUACUUUGUACUUUUAAUUUACAAUGUUUUGAAGAAUAUUGAUCCAAGAAUAUACAUGUUUGUAGAAAUUUUAUAACUUUUCCAAUGACGUGUGAACAUUCUUCACUGACAGGUAAUCUAUUCCAGUUUACCUACAUGUACAGUCCUCUGUAGACCUUCACUCACAAAUAAAGACGAGAAAGUCUAAAAUAGUUUUAAAGAAGUAAUUCUUAGCCAAGUUCACAAGAACGCAGUAGGUAGAUUUAUAAUUUAAUUAUACUUACCUACAAUGGGGAUUUGGAAUGAUUGUUUCGGCAAAAAUGUCCAUAGGGAUUUGUCGAAGAAAAAUUCACAAUUCCCCAUUAAUGGGGACUAGUGGAAUAGCGCAUGAUUUAACUACCUACAUUUAUUGCGACUGUGGAACUCAAUCAAGCCCGGUGAGGGGCAGGAAAGGCGAGCGCUAAUUCCGUAUCAGCAGUCUGCGAAAGUUCCUUAAAAGUUAAAAUUUCUUUACACAUUGUAAAUUAUAUAACAAACUAUAUUACUACAUAAGGAUGGAGGAAAAUCACAAUCAUCCAAAUCUGAAUAAAUAUAUUGUUGCGUAUGUUUUAGUUUUAUAUCGAUAAUUUUUUUAUCACCCAAAUUUGCGUGGGCACAGCAAACGGAAACAUACGAUUUACUUUAGAAUGAAUGGUUGAAAUAUUACACACCAGUAGGGAGCCUAAUACACCAGUAUACUUUUGAAGUCUGGCCUUUUUUCUUAUUGAACUCAACAAAAUGUGGUCAAAAAUAUUGAUCGUUAAUAUGUUACUGUCGCUUCUGUUCAGUGGCAUUUUUGCUUCUAUAAUUCGUGAUGAUUUCUACAACUCUGUUCAAGAGUAUGACUUCAUAGUUAGGGAUCUAGUGUACGAAGAUUCUCCAGUAAAUAAACCUUGUGUGGAAGGAUAUGAGCUGGACAUUUCGGGUCUGUGUCGAGAAGUGUGGAGAAGAUAAUUUGUAAUGUUUUUACUGUGAAUUUAUGUUUACUGCGAAUUUACUGUAUUUUUCCAGUAAUAUUGAGUUUAUAAAUUUAAGGCCUACAAUGAAAUUAUAACUAAGUACAAUCUU